rnacentral:rRNA from 1 species
CGGCAACAGCUCCAAUUUGAAAUCUGGCCCUCUCAGGGUCCGAGUUGUAAUUUGUAGAGGAUGUUUCGGCGUCGGCGCCACCUAAAGUUCCUUGGAACGGGACGUCAAAGAGGGUGAGAGCCCCGUGUCUGGGUGGAUGACUUCGCCAUGUGAAACUCCUUCGAC